UGACAUUUCUAACCACUCAAAUACAAAAUGU
rnacentral:piRNA from 1 species